ACAUAUUACGUUUACGGCCUUCGAUUGUUGAUUCGAGGAACAGUAUAAAAGUUAAAUUCUCACACCUUCCGAUUAUUAAUAAAACCUAUUUGAAUUGCGGGUUUUACAGCCCUCGACUUCAGUACUUCGCCCAUGAACAUUGUCCAUUACCACACCGUGUCUCUGGCAUCGAACUCCGCACAUCUCCCACCGGCGUCCAGGAAGGUCGCCGGUGCAUUGCCGAAGCCAUGGUUCGUCUAUGCCACCUCGACGUGGACAAUCUUAUUCACAAUGCAAAUGAUUCACGUCAUCUGCUUCAUCCGCUACUUCAUGCUGCAAGUUAGUU
rnacentral:lncRNA from 1 species